rnacentral:rRNA from 1 species
AUUGAACGCUGGCGGCAGGCCUAACACAUGCAAGUCGAGCGAUCGGCGGACGGGUGAGUAAUGUAUGGGGCUCUGCUCGAUAGAGGGGGAUAACUACUGGAAACGGUGGUUAAUACCGCAUACUAUCGGAUGAACCCCUAUGGGAUUAGCUAGUAGGUGGGGUAAAGGCUCACCUAGGCGACGAUCUCUAGCUGGUCUGAGAGGAUGAUCAGCCACACUGGAACUGGGACACGGCCCAUACGCCUACGGGAGGCAGCAGUGGGGAAUAUUGCAAAAUGGUCGCAAGCCUGAUGCAGCCAGGCCGCGUGUAUGAAGAAGGCCUUAGUGUUUUAAAGUACUUUCAGCGGGGAGGCGUUACCCGCAGAAGAAGCACCGGCUAACUCCGUGCCAGCAGCCGCGGUAAUUC